rnacentral:rRNA from 1 species
GAUAAACGCUGGCGGCGUGCAUAACACAUGCAAGUCGAACGAAGUGGCGAACGGGUGAGUAACACGUGAGUAACCUGCCUUACACAAGGGGAUAGCCUUUGGAAACGAAGAAUAAUACCCUAUAGUGUAAGAUGGACUUGCGUCUGAUUAGCUAGUUGGUGAGAUAAAGGCCCACCAAGGCAACGAUCAGUAGCCGGGUGGUGAGAGUGUACGGCCACAUUGAGACUGAGAAGCGGUGCAAACUCUACGGGAGGGAGGCGGGGGGAAUAUAGCACUCUGGAGGGAACUUUGAUGCCUCGAGGCCGGGAAAACGAGAAAGCUUUUGAGACGUAAAGUUCUUUUAUAUGGGAAGCGGUACCAUAAGAAAAAGCCCCGGCUAACUACGUGCCAGCGGCCGCGGUAAUUC